rnacentral:rRNA from 1 species
AUUGAACGCUGGCGGCAGGCCUAACACAUGCAAGUCGAACGAGUGGCGGACGGGUGAGUAAUGUCUGAGAAACUGCCCGACGGAGGGGGAUAACUACUGGAAAAGGUAGCUAAUACCGCAUACCAUCGGAUCGGCCCAGAUGGGAUUAGCUAGUAGGUGGGGAAACGGCUCACCUAGGCGACGAUCCCUAGCUGGGCUGAGAGGGUGACCGGCCACACUGGAACUGAGACACGGUCCAUACUCCUACGGGAGGCAGCAGUGGGGAAUAGUGGACAAUGGGCGAAAGCCUGAUGGAGCAAUGCCGCGUGUAUGAAGAAGGCUUUCGGGUUGUAAAGUACUUUCGGCGAGGAGGCGUUACUCGCAGAAGAAGCACCGGCUAACUCCGUGCCAGCAGCCGCGGUAAUUC